CGCGUGGGUAAUCUACCCUUGAAUUGGGGAUAACAUCGCGAAAGCGAUGCUAAUACCGAAUAAUAUCUUAAAAAACCCUGGUUAUUAAGAUCAAAAGUGGCCUCUACUUGUAAGCUACUGUUUGAGGAUGAGCCCGCGUACCAUUAGCUUGUUGGUAGGGUAAUGGCCUACCAAGGCUACGAUGGUUAGCUGGUCUGAGAGGAUGAUCAGCCACACUGGAACUGACACACGGUCCAG
rnacentral:rRNA from 1 species